AUGAGGACCCCUGCUCCUUUCCUUGGGCUCCUGUUGUUCUGUUUUUCUAGUGCCAGAUGUGAUGUUCUAAUGACCCAGUCUCCAUCCUCCCUGUCUGCAUCUUUGGGAGAGAGAGUCUCCCUGACUUGCCAGGCAAGUCAGGGCAUUAGCAAUAAUUUAAACUGGUAUCAACAAACACCAGGGAAAGCUCCUAGGCUCUUGAUCUAUGAUGCAAGCAAAUUGGAAGAUGGGGUCCCUUCAAGGUUCAGUGGCACUGGAUAUCGGACAGAUUUCAAUUUCACCAUCAGCAGCCUGGAGGAAGAAGAUGUGGCAACUUAUUUCUGUCUACAGCAUAGGUAUCUCCCUCC